CAGUAGCGUAUAUUAAUGCUGCUGCAGUUAAAAAGCUCGUAGUUGGAUCUAGGGUUCGGGCUGAGGGUCCGUCGCAAGGCGUGCACUCUCCGCUUGGCCUCCCUCGCGGUUUCCGCCCGGUUCUCUUAACUGAGUGCCGGGUGAGACCGGAACGUUUACUUUGAAAAAUUGGAGUGUUCAAAGCAGGCGAUACAGCCUGAACAGUAGAGCAUGGAAUAAUGGAAUAGGACCUCGGUUCUAUUGCGUUGGUUUUCGGAGUCCGAGGUAAUGAUUGAGAGGGACUGACGGGGGCAUUCGUAUUGCGGUGUGAGAGGUGAAAUUCUUGGAUCGCCGCAAGACGACCGACAGCGAAAGCAUUUGCCAAGAAUGUCUUCAUUAAUCAAGAACGAAAGUUAGAGGUUCGAAGACGAUCAGAUACCGU
rnacentral:rRNA from 1 species